GGGAAUUGGCCGCUGCUAUACAUGCAGUCGAGCGGACAGAUGGGAGCUUGCUCCCUGAUGUUAGCGGCGGACGGGUGAGUAACACGUGGGUAACCUGCCUGUAAGACUGGGAUAACUCCGGGAAACCGGGGCUAAUACCGGAUGCUUGUUUGAACCGCAUGGUUCAAACAUAAAAGGUGGCUUCGGCUACCACUUACAGAUGGACCCGCGGCGCAUUAGCUAGUUGGUGAGGUAACGGCUCACCAAGGCAACGAUGCGUAGCCGACCUGAGAGGGUGAUCGGCCACACUGGGACUGAGACACGGCCCAGACUCCUACGGGAGGCAGCAGUAGGGAAUCUUCCGCAAUGGACGAAAGUCUGACGGAGCAACGCCGCGUGAGUGAUGAAGGUUUUCGGAUCGUAAAGCUCUGUUGUUAGGGAAGAACAAGUACCGUUCAAAUAGGGCGGUACCUUGACGGUACCUAACCAGAAAGCCACGGCUAACUACGUGCCAGCAGCCGCGGUAAUACGUAGGUGGCAAGCGUUGUCCGGAAUUAUUGGGCGUAAAGGGCUCGCAGGCGGUUCCUUAAGUCUGAUGUGAAAGCCCCCGGCUCAACCGGGGAGGGUCAUUGGAAACUGGGGAACUUGAGUGCAGAAGAGGAGAGUGGAAUUCCACGUGUAGCGGUGAAAUGCGUAGAGAUGUGGAGGAACACCAGUGGCGAAGGCGACUCUCUGGUCUGUAACUGACGCUGAGGAGCGAAAGCGUGGGGAGCGAACAGGAUUAGAUACCCUGGUAGUCCACGCCGUAAACGAUGAGUGCU
rnacentral:rRNA from 1 species